UGUGGGAGUACUUGUAAGGUUACUACUUUCAAAGAAGUUUAAAUGUCUCAUUUAGCAAGGCUUUAUUAGGAGAAAGAUGCUUUCUGCCAUUCCUUUUAUGUGUAUGAUUUGGUUGUCUUAGGACAAUUGCUAUAUGUACCCAUACAUAAAAUUCUUAAAGCAGUUUCUCAAGCUGGUUUUGCUGAAGUGAGGUCUAAGCAUGGAGCAAGAAACUUCAGGUUAAAUGUACAUGGAAUAAACUGAAAGACGGAACAUUCAGUCUCAUAUUUGCUGUGAAUCUCUUGCAGGUAAAUUUUUACAGGUCUUCAAAUGACAUCUUUUAUCAGUACCAGUGGUCUGUAGUGCAUCAACAAGGAGAAUUUUGACUUGAAUACAACAUUCUUGAAUAUGAAGACUCAUGACUAUAUAAGACAUAGAUCCUAUUUCCAUCCUUACGCUGGAAAAAUCCCUUCAGGACAGAAACAGUGCUUCAGGACAGAAACAUUGGACACACCUUUAAAUGCAUGCAGAUCUUGUAAGAUGUUGCAUUUUGUUUCCAGAGAAGGUGAUACCAGUCCCUGAAUAAUUUUGCCAGUGAUCUUCUAUCAGCAUAUCAAAAAAACAAUUUUGAAAAACUUGGACAAGAUGAGAGGAAAAAAAAAGUGCUGAAAGAAAAUCAGACUAGCACAAAUUCAAUCAGUGACAGGAACUGAAGUUUCAGAAGCAGAUGCAAGAAAUUUCAUGUGCAUUCAGUAUGGAAAUAAACUGCAUAUGAGGGGUGCA
rnacentral:lncRNA from 1 species